GAUGAAGAACGUAGCGAAAUGCGAUAAGUAGUGUGAAUUGCAGAAUUCAGUGAAUCAUCGAAUCUUUGAACGCACAUUGCGCCUUCUAGUAUUCUGCGAGGCAUGCCUGUUUGAGCGUCAUUAAACCUCUCUCAAGUAUGAUUACUUGGAUGUGAAGGAAGAGUACCUUAAACUUAAGGAGUGUUCUCCUUUGAAAUUGAUUAGCAGAUGGUAAUGUUAUUAAAUCCCUGAUGUUGUAAGAAAUAACAGUGGUUUUGUAGACUAUUAUCUAGCUUUAAAUUAUAAUUUUUAUUAUGGUUGACCUCAAAUCAGGUAAGGAUACCCGCUGAACUUAAGCAUAUCAAUAAGCGGAGGA
rnacentral:misc_RNA from 1 species